rnacentral:rRNA from 1 species
CUACGGGCGGCUGCAGUGGGGAAUAUUGGACAAUGGGGGAAACCCUGAUCCAGCAAUGCCGCGUGUGUGAAGAAGGCCUGCGGGUUGUAAAGCACUUUCGGUUGGGAGGACUGCUUCUAGCACUAAUAUUGUUGGAAGUUGACGUUACCUUCAGAAGAAGCACCGGCUAACUCCGUGCCAGCAGCCGCGGUAAUACGGAAGGUGCAAGCGUUAAUCGGAAUUACUGGGCGUAAAGCGCGCGUAGGCGGCUAGAUCAGUCGGGUGUGAAAGCCCCGGGCUUAACCUGGGAACUGCAUCCGAUACUGUCUAGCUUGAGUACAGGAGAGGAGAGUGGAAUUCCACAUGUAGCGGUGAAAUGCGUAGAUAUGUGGAGGAACACCAAUGGCGAAGGCAGCUCUCUGGCCUGAUACUGACGCUGAGGUGCGAAAGCGUGGGGAGCAAACAGGAUUAGAUACCCUCGUAGUC